GACGAACGCUGGCGGCGUGCCUAAUACAUGCAAGUCGAACGCAGUGGGGACGGGUGAGUAACACGUGGGUGACCUCCCAUCUGAGUGGAUAACACUUGGAUACAGGUGCUAAACCGAUACUGAUGGAUGGACUCGCGGUGCAAUAGCUAGUUGGUGAGGUAACGGCUUAACAAGGCCACGAUGCAUAGGCGGGCUGAGAGGGUGAUCGGGCACAACUGGAAUGGGACACGGCCCAGACUCCUGAGGGAAGGAACAAGAGGGAAUCUUUGGAAAUGGGGGGAAACCUGAACGAGGAAAGCCGCGUGAGAGGAGAAGGGUUUUGGAUCUUAAAGCUAUGUUGUGAAGGAAGCGGUACUUGACCAGAAAGGGACGGCUAACUACGUGCCAGCAGCCGCGGUAAUUC
rnacentral:rRNA from 1 species